rnacentral:tRNA from 1 species
CAGAUUAGAGCUUGAAAAAUUUUAAAGCAUUUUAUUUACACUAAAAAGAUAAUUUUUAAAAAAUUUAUUCUGA